rnacentral:rRNA from 1 species
AUGCAAGUCGAACGGUAACAUUGGUGCUUGCACCAGAUGACGAGUGGCGCACGGGUGCGUAACGCGUAUGCAAUCUACCUUUUACUAGAGUAUAGCCCAGAGAAAUUUGGAUUAAUCCUCUAUAAUAUCUUUAAGUUUCAUGACUUUUAGAUUAAAGUUUUAACGGUAAAAGAUGAGCAUGCGUCCUAUUAGUUUGUAGGUGAGGUAACGGCUCACCUAGACUACGAUAGGUAGGGGCCCUGAGAGGGGGAUCCCCCACACUGGUACUGAGACACGGACCAGACUCCUACGGGAGGCAGCAGUAAGGAAUAUUGGACAAUGGACGAAAGUCUGAUCCAGCCAUGCCGCGUGCAGGAUGAAAGCCCUAUGGGUUGUGAACUGCUUUUAUACAGGAAGAAACACUCGUACGUGUACGAGCUUGACGGUACUGUAAGAAUAAGGACCGGCUAACUCCGUGCCAGCAGCUCGCGGUAAUACGGAGGGUCCGAGCGUUAUCCGGAAUCAUUGGGUUUAAAGGGUCCGCAGGCGGUCUUUUAAGUCAGAGGUGAAAGCCUACAGCUCAACUGUAGAACGGCCUUUGAUACUGAAAGACUUGAGUUAUUAUGAAGUGGUCAGAAUGUGUGGUGUAGCGGUGAAAUGCAUAGAUAUCACACAGAAUACCGAUUGCGAAGGCAGAUCACUAAUAAUAUACUGACGCUCAUGGACGAAAGCGUCGGGAGCCAACAGGAUUAGAUACCCUGGUAGUCCACGCCGUAAACGAUGGAUACUAGCUGUUCGUCUAACAUUGGUUACAUGAGCUGCCUAACCGAAACGUGAUAAGUAUCCCACGUGGGG